rnacentral:lncRNA from 1 species
GGGGAGUCAAGAAAAGUAGAGCUAGACUGAGAUCUUCCUGGUUGUCUCCCAGCCCAGUGAACCUCCCUGGGGGCCACAGCUACACAAAGAAGGGAAGAAGAGAAGGGAGCAUAGAAAAGAGGGCACUUGGCUGCUCAGCACCCCUGAGUAGAUAUGAGCAAGAAAAGGCCCUGGGCUACCCUGGGAUGAAGAGUGUGGGGUUGGUAGGCUUAGCCAAGUCGAAGCCCAGCCUCACUGCCUGCACUGGACCCUCCCUUCUCUGUGACCACACUGUGACCUUGCUGACACGUGCCUCCCUUCCCUGCCCUCUCCAAACCCUGGCCCAAACACAAAACAGGCUAAGAAGCAAAGAACAAAUGUUCCUGGACUACGACAUUGUCUGUCGCCCGCCUGUCCAGCGCCUGCUCAGCAGGAAACCCAGAACAAAGGCUUUGGUCAGAGUGAGGAGGAUAAAGGGCAAAGGAGGCACACAUAAGGGGAAGAGAUGAUCCCAGAAAGAGACCCUAGAACAAAGAUAGAGACCCAGAGGAAUUGGAGAGACAAACAGGCCAAGAGAGGACUGCCACGAGCCCCAAACCCAGAAUGACUUGCCUGACAGCCCUCCCUGUGGUCUGACCCGAAUCCUACCCGGUGCACUGCAGGCCCCUCUCUACAACUCCCUCUCCCCAACCUUUGGAGGGUGACUCAGAGAGCCCCCAGCCUCCCAGCCUCCCCACCUCUCUCGGUGAUUCAUCUGGGUCUUUUCCCUCCGGGGAGCAAUUUCCUCAGCAUUGAGUCACCGAGCUGGACACAGUCCAGGCACCUGGCACAGGCUUGGCAGAGUCCUGGCUGUCCCUCUAGCCCAUGCUAGAAUUCUCACUUUUCUUUCAAAUACCUUCAGUGACUCCCUACCCUCAACACAAUAAAGACAUGCCUGUCUUCCACAACUCAACCCUGACUUGUUGAUUCCAGUUCUGACCCACCCCCAC